CAAAAAAAUAAUUAUGAAUAUGAUAAACAAUAAUUUAGUUAUAAAAUAGUACUGCACAUACAUAACAAACAUAUGAUACAUAGUCAAUAAAUGGAGUCUAUUGUUCGUGUUUUCCUGUAAAAAAAAAAAGAAUUGAAAAGAAAAAAAUAAAUGAAAAACUACCUCUUGAUUAGCUUUAAAUCUUUUUUUUAAUCAAAAUUUUGACCCAUUAGGCC
rnacentral:lncRNA from 1 species